rnacentral:rRNA from 1 species
UACGAGGGGGGCAAGCGUUGUUCGGAAUUAUUGGGCGUAAAGGGCGCGUAGGCGGUGCGGUAAGAGUGCUGUGAAAUCUUCGGGCUCAACUCGAAGUCUGCAGCGCUGACUGCCGUGCUUGAGUGUGGGAGAGGUGAGUGGAAUUCCUGGUGUAGCGGUGAAAUGCGUAGAUAUCAGGAGGAACACCUGCGGCGAAGGCGGCUCACUGGACCACAACUGACGCUGAGGCGCGAAAGCUAGGGGAGCAAACAGG